rnacentral:rRNA from 1 species
ACGAACGCUGGCGGCAUGCCUAACACAUGCACGUCGAACGAGACCUUCGGGUCUAGUGGCGCACGGGUGCGUCACGCGUGGGAACCUGCCCUUAGGUUCGGAAUAACUCCCCGAAAGGGGUGCUAAUACCGGAUAAUGUCUUCGGACCAAAGAUUUAUCGCCUUUGGAUGGGCCCGCGUUGGAUUAGCUAGUUGGUAGGGUAAAAGCCUACCAAGGCGACGAUCCAUAGCUGGUCUGAGAGGAUGAUCAGCCACACUGGGACUGAGACACGGCCCAGACUCCUACGGGAGGCAGCAGUGGGGAAUAUUGGACAAUGGGCGAAAGCCUGAUCCAGCAAUGACGCGUGAGUGAUGAAGGCCUUAGGGUUGUAAAGCUCUUUUACCCGGGAUGAUAAUGACAGUACCGGGAGAAUAAGCUCCGGCUAACUCCGUG